UACGUAGGGCGCAAGCGUUGUCCGGAAUUAUUGGGCGUAAAGAGCUCGUAGGUGGUUUGUCGCGUUGUUCGUGAAAACCGGGGGCUUAACUCUCGGCGUGCGGGCGAUACGGGCAGACUGGAGUACUGCAGGGGAGACUGGAAUUCCUGGUGUAGCGGUGGAAUACGCAGAUAUCAGGAGGAACACCGGUGGCGAAGGCGGGUCUCUGGGCAGUAACUGACGCUGAGGAGCGAAAGCGUGGGGAGCGAACAGG
rnacentral:rRNA from 1 species